rnacentral:rRNA from 1 species
UACGUAGGGGGCAAGCGUUGUCCGGAUUUAUUGGGCGUAAAGCGCGUGUAGGCGGCCAGAUAGGUCUGCCGUGAAAACUCGAGGCUCAACCUCGAGCUGUCGGCGGAAACCAUCUGGCUAGAGUCCGGAAGAGGAGAGUGGAAUUCCUGGUGUAGCGGUGAAAUGCGCAGAUAUCAGGAAGAACACCUAUGGCGAAGGCAGCUCUCUGGGACGGUACUGACGCUGAGAAGCGAAAGCAUGGGGAGCGAACAGG